rnacentral:tmRNA from 1 species
UCUGGCUUCGACGUGGAUUACAAACCCUGAGGUGCAUGCCGAGACGGCAACAGGAUCUCGUACCCACUCUGUUGCAAAUUAUAGUUGCCAACGACGACAACUACGCUUUAGCCGCUUAAGGCUAAACUGCGACCCGGGAGCGCCACUGGUACCGGUUAGCAGUCAUCUACAGAGGCUAAGGUGUGAGCGGGCCCAACGUUCACACUCGAAAACCUACCGGGAUCGCGUUUCAUGAGCCUGUGCGUCGGCGCUUGAAACGUUAACUCAAAUGGCAGCACUAAGCAUGUAGUACCAAAGGCAGAGGAUUUGCGGACGCGGGUUCGAUUA